rnacentral:rRNA from 1 species
GACCCAACAGCUAGCCUCUUCUUCUAUACUCAUCAAGAAGUUAUACCGACCCCUAAAUACCCUAAAAAGUAAUAAGUAAAUCAUUCUUCCCCCUUAGUAUGUGUGACAGAAAAGGAUAACUGAGAGCUAUAGAUAAAGUACCGCAAGGGAAUGCUGAAAGAGAAAUGAAAUAACCCAGUAAAGUAUAAAGAAGCAGAGACUAAGCCUCGUACCUUUUGCAUCAUGAUUUAGCAAGUCCCCUCAAGCGAAAAGUUUUUUAGUUUGACACCCCGAAACUAGACGAGCUACUUCAAGGCAGCCUAUAAAUAGGGCAAACCCGUCUCUGUGGCAAAAGAGUGGGAAGACCUUUAAGUAGAGGUGAUAAACCUACCGAGCCUAGUAAUAGCUGGUUACCUGAGAACUAAAUAGAAGUUUAGCCUUUUAUUUUCUUAUACCAAACUUGGCACUUCCUCUGGCCAGGCCCUGAGAAUAAUAAAGGAGUUAGUCAAAAGGGGUACAGCCCUUUUGAAUAAAGACACAACUUUUCCAGGAGGAUAAGAAUCAAAACUUAAUCAAGGCCAGUGUUCUGGUGGGCCUAAAAGCAGCCACCCUUAUAGAUAGCGUUAAAGCUCAAACACUAAUCCUGCCUUAUAUUCCGACAUCAAAAUUUUAUUCCCCUAAACCAUACCAGGUCGUUCUAUAUUUUAUAGAAAAGAUUAUGCUAGAAUGAGUAAUAAGAGACUAAACCUCUCUCCAAGCACACAUAUAAAUCGGAACGGACCCACCCCCGAAAAUUAGCGGCCCUAACCUAAGAAGGAAAUAGGACUCAAAUAGAAAACUAGAAAACCUCCUAUAAACUCACCGUUGAUCCUACAAUGGCGUGCUCCCCGGGAAAGACUAAAAGGAGAAGAAGGAACUCGGCAAACCGUAAAUAAGCCUCGCCUGUUUACCAAAAACAUCGCCUCUUGAAAUCCCCCUGUAUAAGAGGUCCCGCCUGCCCUGUGACGAAGGUUUAACGGCCGCGGUAUCUUGACCGUGCAAAGGUAGCGCAAUCACUUGUCUUUUAAAUGAAGACCUGUAUGAAUGGCAAAACGAGGGCUUAACUGUCUCCUUCCCCCAGUCAAUGAAAUUGAUCUCCCCGUGCAGAAGCGGGGAUAUAAACAUAAGACGAGAAGACCCUAUGGAGCUUUAGACGCAAUGACCGCCCAUGUUUAACCCCUUGACUAAGAGGCAUAAACCAACUGGGCCCGGGCAUGAUGUCUUUGGUUGGGGCGACCACGGGGUAACGAAAAACCCCCGAGUGGAAUGAGUACACAACUCUUUAAACCCAAGAGCCACAGCUCUAGGAAUCAGAAUUUCUGACCUAAAAGAUCCGGCAAAGCCGAUCAACGAACCGAGUUACCCUAGGGAUAACAGCGCAAUCCCCUUUUAGAGCCCAUAUCGACAAGGGGGUUUACGACCUCGAUGUUGGAUCAGGACAUCCUAAUGGUGCAGCCGCUAUUUAGGGUUCGUUUGUUCAACGAUUAAAGUCCUACGUGAUCUGAGUUCAGACCGGAGUAAUCCAGGUCAGUUUCUAUCUAUGAAAUACCCCUGCCUAGUACGAAAGGACCGGCAAGAGGGGGCCAAUGCUACAAGUAUGCCCCAUCCUUACCUAAUGAAGGCAACUAAAUUAGGUAAAAGGAUAUAGUAUUAAGCUAAAGAUUAUAGCAU